AAUACAAAGUCCUUGAGUUAAGAGAGCUACCACCGUAUUCAAAAUUUAAGCACAACUCUCUUCCUCACCAAUCUCACUUAUUCCCAACUUCUUCCCUUUUCUUUUACAUUGAGCUCAUUUUCAUGCAUUUCUUCUUUUCUUUUCUUUUUCUCAUGCAUUUUUCUUUCUCAACAUUUGAGCUCAAUGUUUUACAAUUGCUUUUCAAUUUCCCCCAUACAAUCCCAAACUUGAACCUCUUCC
rnacentral:lncRNA from 1 species